GUCGCUUUGCCGGAGUGGUUAACGGGUUCGCCUGCUACUUGUUAGAUAAGCGGAUGCACAUGUGCGCGAGUGUUCGAAUCGCUCAGGCGACG